rnacentral:tRNA from 1 species
UAGGAAUAAAGAAAAAAGUAGCUGCUAACUAACUUUUUAAGCGGUUAAAUUCCGUUUUUUCCUUA